rnacentral:lncRNA from 1 species
GCUGGCAUCAGACAGAAUCCCUGAUGCUCUGCCAGUCUGUGCUCCUCCAGUACCUGUGUCCUUCAUGAUAUUUCCAAGUCAUAAGUAAAGAAGACUGAUCUCGGAAACUGCUGGUGUGCGGAGGAAAGCCAUUAAAACACUGCUGCGUGGGCAGGCCUGAGUGCCUCCUGAUGUCAGUAAGAGAUAAGUUUUGCCAUGGUGCAUACGGAUUUGCUGUUUUCCAGUCUGAAAUUCCCCUUGCUUUCAGUAGCUCCUUGGGCAGAAGAUUGCCACUGUCAUUGCAGGUAUCGUUCUAAUCCCUGUGUGAGAGCAGUACAGGCUUCCCUGUUAGUAAUGGCAGCAGUGAAUUUUUUCUAGAGCUCACCGAAUAGCACUCUGUCCUGAUUUUCAGUAAGGCUUUCCCUGCCCUGAUAUGCCCACAUCAGCAGAUCGGUUGUCCAUAUGCACAAAACUACUACUGGCCUCAGCACUAGUAUCUGUUCUCUUUUGCUUCUCAGUCUAGGCUCUGACGGGCCAAUAGGCUUGAAACUUUC